rnacentral:rRNA from 1 species
GAUCAAGCAAUUAAGGGCGUAUGGUGAAUGCCUUGGCAUCGGAAGGCGAUGAAGGACGUGAUAAGCUGCGAUAAGUCUCGGUGAGGAGCAAAUAUCCUUUGACCCGGGAAUUUCCGAAUGGGACAACCUACUUAGGGUUAUGCCUAAGUGCGAGCUGGUGAAUACAUAGCCAGUUUAGAGCCAACGGGGGGAAUUGAAACAUCUUAGUACCCCUAGGAAGAGAAAGUAAGUCAACGAUUGCAUUAGUAGCGGCGAGCGAAACUGCAAUAGCCUAAACUUUUUGUGCGUGAUAGGCGGCGGCCGUUGCACAGAGGGUGUUGUGGGAGCUGUUAUGUCUGUCUGCCGACAGGCAGUGAAGUUAUAAAAUUUAUUCUUAGUUGAACGGAUUGGAAAGUCCGGCCAUAGUGGGUGAUAGCCCCGUAAGCAAAAAGAAUAGAUCUUCUUUACAGUUUCCCGAGUAGCACGGGACACGCGAAAUCUUGUGUGAAUCUGCGAGGACCAUCUCGUAAGGCUAAAUACUCUCCGAUGACCGAUAGUGAACCAGUACCGUGAGGGAAAGGUGAAAAGAACCCCCAAAGGGGAGUGAAAUAGUACCUGAAACCGUAUGCCUACAAGCGGUCGGAGCCAUUCUGCGGAGUGGUGACGGCGUGCCUUUUGUUUAAUGAACCAGCGAGUUACGGUAUGCAGCAAGGUUAAGCAGGUUAACUGCGGAGCCGAAGCGAAAGCGAGUCUUAAUAGGGCGAAUAAGUUGCAUGCUGUAGACGCGAAACCCUGUGAUCUAGCCAUGACCAGGAUGAAGCUUAGGUAAAACUAAGUGAAGGUCCGAACCGGUGAAAGUUGAAAAUUUCUCGGAUGAGUUGUGGUUAGGGGUGAAAGGCUAAUCAAACUGGGUGAUAGCUCGUUCUUUCCGAAAUAUAUUUAGGUAUAGCGUUGUGUUAAAAGAUUAACGGCGGUAGAGCACUGAUUGGACUAGGGGACUUACCCGUCUACCAAACCCAUUUCAAACUCCGAAUUCCGUUAAUUGUUUCACAGCAGUCAGCCCGUGGGGGAUAAGCUUCACGGACAAAAGGGGAACAACCCAGACCAUCAGCUAAGGUCCCUAAAUCCAUGCUAAGUGAAUAAGGAUGUGAGUUUACUUUGACAACUAGGAUGUUGGCUUAGAAGCAGCCAUCAUUUAAAGAAAGCGUAAUAGCUCACUAGUCAAGUGAAUUUGCGCCGAUAAUAUCCGGGACUAAGCAUGGUACCGAAGCUAUGGAUUUGUAAGAUUCGUCUUACAAGUGGUAGGAAAGCGUUCCAGUAACCGCAGAAGCUGUCGGGUAACCGAUGGUGGAGGACCUGGAAACGAGUAUGCUGGUAUAAGUAGCGAUAAUGAGAAUUAAAAAAUCUCACACCGUAAGUCUAAGGUUUCCUGGGUAAAGCUAAUCUUCCCAGGGUUAGUCGGAUCCUUAGUCGAGGCCAAUUAGGCGUAGAUGAUGGACAUCAGGUCAAUAUUCCUGAACUAUCCAGUUCGCGUUAUCAGCUGGGGGGGGACGCAGGAGUGAAAACAGGCACACUAUUGGAUGUGUGUACAAGCAAGUAGAAGUGAGAGCCAGGUAAAUCCGGUUCUCUUUAACUUCGAGAUGUGAUGUGGAAGUGAGCCUUCGGGUGAUCGAACCUGUUCUAAACAUGCUGCCAAGAAAAGCCUCACAGUAAGUUAAUUGGAUAUCCGUACCGUAAACCAACACAGGUAGACGAGGCGAGUAGCCUCAGGUGCUCGAGAGAACUGCGCUAAAGGAACUCGGCAAAUUUGCUCCGUAACUUCGGGAGAAGGAGUGCCCUGUAGUGUGUAAGCCCCGCGGCUGAAGCAUCUCAGGGUCGCAGUGAAAUGGCCCAAGCGACUGUUUAUCAAAAACACAUGUCUAUGCUAAGUUGUAAGAUGAUGUAUAUGGACUGACACCUGCCCGGUGCUGGAAGGUUAACAGGAGGGGUUAGACGCAAGUCGAAGCUCUGAAUCGAAGCCCCAGUAAACGGCGGCCGUAACUAUAACGGUCCUAAGGUAGCGAAAUUCCUUGUCGGGUAAGUUCCGACCUGCACGAAUGGUGUAACGAUUUGGGCACUGUCUCUAGCGCAGACUCGGCGAAAUUGUAGUAUCGGUGAAGAUGCCGAUUACCCGCAGUUGGACAGAAAGACCCUAUGCACCUUUACUGUAUCUUGGCGUUGAUUUUUGGUUGUGUAUGUGUAGGAUAGGUGGGAGGCUUUGAAGUUGGGGCGCUAGCUCUGAUGGAGCCAACCUUGAAAUACCACCCUUAUAUAAUUGGAAAUCUAACUUUGGACCAUGAAUCUGGUCUAAGAACAGCGCCAGGGGGUCAGUUUGACUGGGGCGGUCGCCUCCCAAAUUGUAACGGAGGCUCCCAAAGGUUCGUUCAGCGUGGUCAGUAAUCACGCGUUGAGUGUAAAGGCACAAACGAGCUUAACUGCGAGACACACAGGUCGAGCAGAUGCGAAAGCAGGGCUUAGUGAUCCGGCGGUUUCGAAUGGAAGAGCCGUCGCUCAAAGGAUAAAAGGUACGCUGGGGAUAACAGGCUUAUUUCCCCCAAGAGUUCACAUCGACGGGGAAGUUUGGCACCUCGAUGUCGGCUCAUCACAUCCUGGGGCUGGAGAAGGUCCCAAGGGUUCGGCUGUUCGCCGAUUAAAGUGGUACGUGAGCUGGGUUCAGAACGUCGUGAGACAGUUCGGUCCAUAUCCACUGUGGGCGUUCGAUAUUUGAGGAAACUAAAUCAUAGUACGAGAGGACCUGAUUUAACGAACCUCUGGUGUAUCUGUUGUUCCGCCAGGAGCAUUGCAGAGUAGCUACGUUCGGACGGGAUAAGCGCUGAAAGCAUCUAAGCACGAAGCCCAUUCCAAGAAUAGAUAUCGCGAGGCUUAAGCCUCCUAAAGACUCCAUGAAGACUACAUGGUUGAUAGGUCACAGAUGCAAGUCCCGUAAGGGAUUCAGUCGAGUGAUACUAAUAAGUCGUGCGGCUUGAUCUA